rnacentral:rRNA from 1 species
UUUGAAAUCCGGUACUCUUUGGGUGCCCGAGUUGUAAUCUGCAGAUGGGUUUUCCGGUGAGGCACGCGUCCAAGUUCCCUGGAAUGGGACGCCGUAGAGGGUGAGAGCCCCGUACUGGCGCCGUGCCGAGCCUCUGUGAGGCCCAUUCGACGAGUCGAGUAGUUUGGGAAUGCUGCUCUAAUUGCGAGGUAAAUCUCUCGUAAGGCUAAAUACCGGCCAGAGACCGAUAGCGCACAAGUAGCGUGAGCGAAAGAUGAAAAGAGCCUUGGAUAAGGGCGUCAAAAAGCAUGUGAAAUCGUUAUGGGGGAAGCGCUCGUCGCCAGACGUGGCGGCGGCUGGUUAGCCGGCGUUCUCGCCGGCGCACUCGGACCGCCGCCAGGCCAGCAACAGCUCGGGCUGGGGCCCACUGCCGGAGGGAACGUGGCUCCUCUCGGGGAGUGUUAUAGCCCUUCGGCGACGCCCUGGGCCGGGCUGAGGACCGCGCCUUGUGCACGGAUGCUGGCGUAAUGGCGCCUAGCGACCCGUCUUGAAACACGGACCAAGGAGUUGACCUAGCGCGCGAGUGUACGGGUGUCAAGCCCCUGCGCGCAGUGAAAGCAAACGCUGGUGGGAGCCUUUUGGUGCACCAUCGACCGAUCCUGAUGCUCCGCGGAUGGAUUUGAGUAGAGCGUGCUGGGUCUGACCCGAAAGAAAGUGAACUAUGCAUGGGUAGGGUGAAGCCAGAGGAAACUCUGGUGGAGGCUCGCAGCGGGUUCUGACGUGCAAAUCGAUCGUCAAACCUGUGCAUGGGGGCGAAAGACCAAUCGAACCUUCUAGUAGCUGGUUCCUGCCGAAGUUUCCCUC